GAAAUACUCCCUCCAUCCCAAAAUUCUUGUCUUAGAUUUGUCUAGAUACAGAUGUAUCUAAUACUAAAACGUGACUUGAUACAUCCGUAUUUAGAUAAAUCUAAGACAAGAAUUUUGAGACGGAGGGAGUACAUA
rnacentral:pre_miRNA from 1 species